AUGAACGCUGGCGGCGUGCCUAAUCCCUGCAAGUCGAGCGAACGGACGAGAAGCUUGCUUCUCUGAUGUUAGCGGCGGACGGGUGAGUAACACGUGGAUAACCUACCUAUAAGACUAGGAUAACUUCGGGAAACCGGAGCUAAUACCGGAUAAUAUUUUGAACCGCAUGGUUCAAAAGUGAAAGACGGUCUUGCUGUCACUUAUAGAUGGAUCCGCGCUGCAUUAGCUAGUUGGUAAGGUAACGGCUUACCAAGGCAACGAUGCAUAGCCGACCUGAGAGGGUGAUCGGCCACACUGGAACUGAGACACGGUCCAGACUCCUACGGGAGGCAGCAGUAGGGAAUCUUCCGCAAUGGGCGAAAGCCUGACGGAGCAACGCCGCGUGAGUGAUGAAGGUCUUCGGAUCGUAAAACUCUGUUAUUAGGGAAGAACAUAUGUGUAAGUAACUGUGCACAUCUUGACGGUACCUAAUCAGAAAGCCACGGCUAACUACGUG
rnacentral:rRNA from 1 species